UUUGGUGACCAACCGGCCCAUUUUCACUUUCAACACUAGUUUGUUCCAUUUAGUGUGGCCAUGUGCAGCCAAGAAUGCCAAAAUCGGAUACAGAAGCCUGCAUCUCACUCGUACUUCUGCCUGUAAUUCAGUCACCAAUGCCAAAUUAGGUAUGAGAACUACAGACCCAAGAGAACAUUCUAUUCCAGACGAGUUGGCAAACCAGAUCUCAACCUUCUGAAAAGUGGACAUAAUAAGGUAGAUGACUGGAUUCACUCACUAUUCUGGAAGAAUAUAUACUUCAUAGGGUUAUAGGCAAAUAAUUACAAUGCAAUGUAAGUACUAAAAUAGAG